CGGGGGGGCAAGCGUUGUUCGGAAUUACUGGGCGUAAAGGGUUCGUAGGUGGCUUGCUAAGUCAGACGUGAAAUCCCUCAGCUUAACUGGGGAACUGCGUCUGAGACUGGCGAGCUUGAGUGCAGGAGAGGAACGCGGAAUUCCAGGUGUAGCGGUGAAAUGCGUAGAUAUCUGGAGGAACACCGGUGGCGAAGGCGGCGUUCUGGACUGCAACUGACACUGAGGAACGAAAGCCAGGGGAGCAAACGGGAUUAGAUACCCCGGUAGUCCUGGCCCUAAACGAUGAAUGCUUGGUGUGGCGGGUAUCGAUCCCUGCCGUGCCGAAGUUAACGCGUUAAGCAUUCCGCCUGGGGAGUACGGUCGCAAGGCUG
rnacentral:rRNA from 1 species